CUUCUACUCCCUCCGUCCGGAAAUACUUGUCAUUGAAAUGGAUGUAUCUAGAUGUAUUUUAGUUGUAGAUACAUCCAUUUUCAUCCAUUUUGAUGACAAGUAAUUCCGGACGGAGGGAGUAUUAC
rnacentral:pre_miRNA from 1 species